UAGUCCACGCCGUAAACGAUGGAUACUAGCUGUUCGGUAGCAAUACUGAGUGGCUAAGCGAAAGUGAUAAGUAUCCCACCUGGGGAGUACGUUCGCAAGAAUGAAACUCAAAGGAAUUGACGGGGGCCCGCACAAGCGGUGGAGCAUGUGGUUUAAUUCGAUGAUACGCGAGGAACCUUACCAGGGCUUAAAUGUAUUGUGACAGGGGUGGAAACACCCUUUUCUUCGGACACAUUACAAGGUGCUGCAUGGUUGUCGUCAGCUCGUGCCGUGAGGUGUCAGGUUAAGUCCUAUAACGAGCGCAACCCCUGUUGUUAGUUGCCAUCGAGUAAUGUCGGGAACUCUAACAAGACUGCCGGUGCAAACCGUGAGGAAGGUGGGGAUGACGUCAAAUCAUCACGGCCCUUACGUCCUGGGCUACACACGUGCUACAAUGGCCGGUACAGAGAGCAGCCACUUCGCGAGAAGGAGCGAAUCUAUAAAACCGGUCUCAGUUCGGAUCGGAGUCUGCAACUCG
rnacentral:rRNA from 1 species